rnacentral:tRNA from 1 species
GCCCCUGUGGUCUUCCGGUAAGGAUUCCGCUCUUUCACAGCGGAGGAACGGGUUCGACUCCCGUCAGGGGUAC